ACGUCCCCUUGAUCUCAACACAUUCUGAGGCAGAGUGAAAGGUGUGUGCUUGUAACCAUUCUGUUUUAUGUAUUCACAACCCACAUAGAAACAUUUAGAAGGAUCUUAUGUACUUACUGUGGCUAUGGGGGUUUGGAAACGUACACACACAGUUGUAUUAUACACACACACACACACACACAGUUGUAUUAUACACACACACACACACAGUUGUAUUAUACACACACACACACACACACAGUUGUAUUAUACACACACACACACACACACACACACAGUUGUAUUAUACACACACACACACACAGUUGUAUUAUACACACACACACACACAGUUGUAUUAUACACACACACACACACAGUUGUAUUAUACACACACACACACACACACACACACACAGUUGUAUUAUACACACACACACACAGUUGUAUUAUACACACACACACACACACACACACACAGUUGUAUUAUACACACACACACACAGUUGUAUUAUACACACACACACAGUUGUAUUAUACACACACACACACAGUUGUAUUAUACACACACACACACACACAGUUGUAUUAUACACACACACACACACACAGUUGUAUUAUACACACACACACACAGUUGUAUUAUACACACACACACACACACAGUUGUAUUAUACACACACACACACAGUUGUAUUACACACACACACACACAGUUGUAUUAUACACACACACACACACACACACACACACACACACACAGUUGUAUUAUACACACACACACACACACACAGUUGUAUUAUACACACACACACACACACAGUUGUAUUAUACACACAGAGCCUCCUGCAGGACAGAAAGGACUUUGAGCUUCUGUGAAGUUUUAUCAGUCACUCCCAUCUUCCCCAGCCCGUCGCUUGUGACCCAACAUCCCCAUCAAUAAAUUCCUGAAUCCUAACCUUUCACCCAAGGUCACCUUAUUCAACCAACCAAUCAAAGCAAACAGUCCGAGUGUCUGACCAAACCCGGCAGCUGCGAGGGAGAGAGGGUGAUCCAGGUUUUAGCCAAUCGGGACAGGAGAUUGUCUCUGUAGGGCGGGGUUUGUAGCCGCUGUAGACUAGCCAGGGGUUCUGUUCCCUAGGGUGGGGUCUGUAGACUUGCCAGGGGUUCUGUAGGGUGGGGUCUGUAGACUAGCCAGGGGUUCUGUAGGGUGGGGUCUGUAGACUAGCCAGGGGUUCUGUAGGGUGGGGUCUGUAGACUAGCCAGGGGUUCUGUAGGGUGGGGUCUGUAGACUAGCCAGGGGUUCUGUAGGGUGGGGUCUGUAGACUAGCCAGGGGUUCUGUAGGGUGGGGUCUGUAGACUAGCCAGGGGUUCUGUAGGGUGGGGUCUGUAGACUAGCCAGGGGUUCUGUAGGGUGGGGUCUGUAGACUAGCCAGGGGUUCUGUAGGGGGGGGUCUGUAGACUAGCCAGGGGUUCUGUAGGGGGGGGUCUGUAGACUAGCCAGGGGAGUCCUGGCACCUUACUGAAUAUGGCCCCUGUUGUUUAGGGUGUAAUGUUCCCCUGUUUAAGUGUUUAUGGGGAACUGUGAGAGACGUCAUGCAACCUCCUAGGAAAUCCCAAAUGGCUCCAUAUUCCCCAGUGGACUCCUUUGAUUAAGGUCCCUUGGGGCUCUGGUCUACAGUUGUAUGCUACAUAGAGCGCCGUUUGGGACACUGACAGUCUCCUUGCAGACACAUCAUGUAGAGUGUCGGUCCCAUGUUUCAUCAGCUGAAAUAAAAGAUCCCAGCCAUUUUCCAUACGCACAAACAUUAUUUCAAAUUUUGUGCACAAAUUUGUUUACAUCCCUGUUAGUGAGCAUUUCUCAUUUGCUAAUCUACCUGACAGUUAAGGAAUAUCGAGAAGCUGAUUAAACAGCAUGAUUGUUACACAGGUGCACCUUGUGCUGGGGACAAUUUAAAAGGCCGCUCAAAAAUAUGCUGUUUUUUUUCACACAACACAAUGCCACAGAUGUCUCAAGUUGAGGGAGCGUGCAAUUGACAUGCUGACUGCAGGAAUGUCCACCAAAGCUGUUGCCAGAUAAUGUAAUGUUAAUUUCUCUACCGUAAUCCACAUCCAACAUCAUUUUAUAGAAUUUGGCAGUACGUCUAACCGGCCUCACUACCACAGACCAGUGUAACUACACCAGCCCAGGUCCUCCACAUCUGGCUUCACUACCACAGACCAGUGUAACUACACCAGCCCAGGUCCUCCACAUCUGGCUUCACUACCACAGACCAGUGUAACUACAACAGCCCAGGACCUCCACAUCUGGCUUCUUCACCUGUGGGAUCGUCUGCGGAGGAGGGGUGGUGCUGAGGAGUAUUUCUGUCUGUAAUAAAGCCAUUUUGUGGGGCGAAACUCAUUCUGAUUUGCUCGGCCUGGCUCCCAAGUGUGGGCCUAUACCUCCCCCAUUGCCUAGUCAUGUGAAAUCCAUAGAUUAGGGCCUAAUUUAUUUAUUUCAAUUGACUGAUUUCCUUCUAUGAACUGUAACUCAGGAAAAUCUUUGAAAUUGUGUCAUGUUGUGUAUAUAUAAUUGCAUUCCAACCUGAAGAUCAGGAUUGGUUGAUUGAUUGAGUCGGGUGUAGUAACGAGCUGGAGGAGAAGUGUGACACUAAUCAGGUCCCAGAGGACUGGAGAUACCCAUCCCUGAGAUAAAGACUCUUACAUCUUCUGUUUGGGAGUUACCCAUCCCUGAGAUAAAGACUCUUACAUCUUCUGUUUGGGAGUUACCCAUCCCUGAGAUAAAGACUCUUACAUCUUCUGUUUGGGAGUUACCCAUCCCUGAGAUAAAGACUCUUACAUCUUCUGUUUGGGAGUUACCCAUCCCUGAGAUAAAGACUCUUACAUCUUCUGUUUGGGAGUUACCCAUCCCUGAGAUAAAGACUCUUACAUCUUCUGUUUGGGAGUUACCCAUCCCUGAGAUAAAGACAUCCUCUGUUUGGUCAAAUGGUGUAAAAUGUUCAUGGUUUUGUUUUCUUCCUUUUCCCCAUAAAUAUAAG